rnacentral:rRNA from 1 species
GGACUCCACUGCUAUCGGGGUAAGGCUAAGCCAUGCAAGUCGAAGGCCUCCGGCUCCGGGGGCCUGGCGUACGGCUGAGUAACGCGUGGCCAACCUGCCCUGCGGAGGGGGAUAACCCCGGGAAACUGGGGAUAAACCCCCAUAGGUGACCGGGUCUGGAAGGACCGGUCGCCGAAAGUCCCGGUCGGGGAUGCUCCGGCCGGGAGCCGCAGGAUGGGGCUGCGUCCUAUCAGGUAGUUGAUGGGGUAACGGCCCACCAAGCCUGUGACGGGUAGGGGCCCUGAGAGGGGGAGCCCCCAGAUGGACUCUGAGACAAGAGUCCAGGCCCUACGGGGCGCAGCAGGCGCGAAAACUCCGCAAUGGGCGAAAGCCCGACGGGGUUACCCCGAGUGCCACCCUCGUGGUGGCUUUUGCCCGCUCUAAAAAGGCGGGCGAAUAAGGGGAGGGCAAGUCGGGUGUCAGCCGCCGCGGUAAUACCCGCUCCCCGAGUGGUGGAGGCUAUUACUGGGCCUAAAGCGCCCGUAGCCGGCCCGGUGUGUCCCUCGUUAAAUCCACGGGCUUAACCCGUGGGCUGCGGGGGAUACUACCGGGCUUGGGGGUGGGAGAGGCGCCCGGGUAUUCCCGGGGUAGGGGUAAAAUCCU